rnacentral:rRNA from 1 species
UACGUAGGGCGCAAGCGUUGUCCGGAAUUAUUGGGCGUAAAGAGCUCGUAGGCGGUUUGUCACGUCGGCUGUGAAAACCCGAGGCUCAACCUCGGGCCUGCAGUCGAUACGGGCAGACUAGAGUGCUGUAGGGGAGACUGGAAUUCCUGGUGUAGCGGUGAAAUGCGCAGAUAUCAGGAGGAACACCGGUGGCGAAGGCGGGUCUCUGGGCCGAAAUUGACGCUGAGGAGCGAAAGCGUGGGGAGCGAACAGG